GACGAACGCUGGCGGCGUGCCUAACACAUGCAAGUCGAGCGAGUGGAGUUCUUCGGAACAAAGCUAGCGGCGGACGGGUGAGUAACACGUGGGCAACCUGCCUCAUAGAGGGGAAUAGCCUCCCGAAAGGGAGAUUAAUACCGCAUAAGAUUGUAGCUUCGCAUGAAGUAGCAAUUAAAGGAGCAAUCCGCUAUGAGAUGGGCCCGCGGCGCAUUAGCUAGUUGGUGAGGUAACGGCUCACCAAGGCGACGAUGCGUAGCCGACCUGAGAGGGUGAUCGGCCACAUUGGGACUGAGACACGGCCCAG
rnacentral:rRNA from 1 species